UGGAACUUUGACUGAUGAGGGAUAAAUAUCCUAGUGUGCACGUAUUCAUCGAUCAAAGCUUUGACUAUACCUAUACAUAGUAGGUUCAUUAAUUCAGUAUUUGGAGUGUUUAGACAAAUGAGUUGUUCAUUUGAGUAUAUUCCCACUUCUUUCCUUAGGCAUUAGUUUUGUUAUUUAGAUUUUGGAACAUUUCCUGAAUAAUUCCACGUAUGUGAGAGCACAUGAAUCUGCAGUUUUAAUUAAAAUUGGUUGCCUGUUCUCGUCAAUUUUUUUUCCCUAUCACUUAUCAUAUUUUUUUUUCUUCCUAUUAUUUAUCAUAGUGCCAUAGACCUUGUAAGUUCACCAUUCAUUCUGUUUUCUUCCUUACUUAUUCUUAUAUUAGUACCUUAUCUGAGUCUGGUUAUUCUCAUACAUCUGUUGUAGCAACAUGCUAUAGUUCGCGAAUACCAGCACGAAUUAAGUUAUGUAGUUUCUAUAAAUUUUAGUCAAUACACUGUAGGUAUUUAUCUUACCUUUGAUUUAGUUUGGUUACCUCUCUGUUACUUAGUCUGUUAGUAAUUUUUUUUCUGACUUAUUUUGGAUUACUUAGUUUAGAUAGGUUCAUAUUACCGGAUGAGGAUGUAUGUAGACCUAAUUUAUUUAUUUUGUUCAGUAUUAGUUACCAUUGGAUCCAAUAAUUUAGUUUAUUUAGUAUUAGUAAGAAUUGGUCCAUAAAUUUGCCUGAUCGUUCAUCUUUGGAUAUACUCUUAUAUAAAUCUGGUGUCCAUUGAUAGUCCGAUUCUGGAUAAGUGUCCGAUUCUUCAUUUAUUUUGUGUAUUUGGUUGGAUAGGUUCGUAUCACCGGAUGUGGGUGUACGUAGACCUGAUCUGUUUAUGUGGUUUAGUAUUGGUGUGAAUUGGUCCAUAAAUUUGCCUGGUCGUUCUUCUUUGGAUAUGCCUUUUAUGAAUCUGGUGUCCACUGAUAGUCCGACUUUGGAUUAAGUGUCCGAUUCCACAUUUAUUUUGGUUAUUGAGUUUUGGAUUCCUUUGGUAUGUUUAUUAUUGGUAUUAUUUGGCAUUAGUGAGAGUUGUUCCAUAAAUCUUCCUGAUUGUUCUUCUCUGGAUAUACUAUUAUGAAUCUGGUGUCCAUUGUUAGUUCAAUUUUGGAUUAAGUGUUCAAUUCUUUACUUAUUUUAGUUACUGUUUUUUUUAUUCACUUUGGUACAUUUACUUUUGAUAUGGUUCGAAUUGGCUCACACCUUUUCCUGGUUGUUCCGUCCUUGGAUAUACCCUUUAUAAAUCUGAUGUUCAUGGAUAGUUCAAUUUUGGUUUUGGUGCCCAGUUCGACACUUAGCAUUAUUAUGAACUUUAGUGCAAUAUUUAGUUCUGUUUUGACUUUUAAGCAAUAUUAUGUCAAUAUUUGGUAGCAGAGAGUAACAUAGUAACAUUUUAGUAUGAGUUUGAGUCAUGUAUUUAUUUAUUUCUCCUUGAACAUUAGUUUAUGCUUAUUGGUAAUCUUGCGAAUCAACGUGGAUUGUUAGACUAUGUAUUGCAAAGUUAGUUGUUAUUAUUUUGAAGUUUAGGAAAAAAAAUUUUAUGGAUAAAAUUUUUUUUUCCCAAGUAGAAGGGGAUUGUAACGGUCACGUUACGAAAGUAGCUCUUUAAUAAUUAUUAUUAUUAUUUUCCCUCGGUCUCUCAUUUAAAUUCUCGUAUAGGACCACUGAGGUGACGUCAUACCUCGGUGAUGGAACGUACUCCACCUAUCGAGAAUUAUUCGGGUUCUGAGAGAAUUUGACGUUUACCUUGGCGGAGAAACGCCUCUCGUUCUUUACUUGACUGUGAGCUGUGGUGUCGAAUAGAUAUACCCUAUAGAAUGGCGGAUGAUUUCCUCCAACUUAUUUUAUCACAUAAGAAAUUUAACGUAAAGUAAAAAGUUACCACCAGGGAUUGUCUGGAGUGAGGAGACAUGUGGGUGACAACUCCUGUUGGAGUAUAAAUAGGAAUCAUUCGCCAUUUGGGAGAAACCCUACCAUGAAGUCAUAGACCUUAUUUGACCACCUAGAGAAACCACUACAGCCACAGUCAAGUCAUCAUGGGAGUAUGUCUAAUUGGGAGCAAGCUAUGGGAGCGUUCCAGCUCAAUUUUCGUCUUGGCACCUGGGCCUACAGGAGUCAUGGGGUCGCACCAUCCUGGUGCAUCAUUUUCUAGGAUGCAACCGCAACCUCGUUUGGGAACAUUUAGUGAGGUGUUUUAGUAACUAUUGGUUUUUUUUUUAUAUUUCAGACUAUCUGUUAAAUACACUAUGUUUUUUUUCCAGAUUUAGGUUACCUCUGUUUUUUUUUUUGACAUAUUUGUAUAUUAGAUUAUUUGGUUCCCAAACUUUGUAUCUACGGUAACUUCUUUUGCACAGGAAUAAGCCUAGAGAAAAUUAGGUUUUUAAUACUUUAUUAUUGCUUUGAUAUUGGUUUAUGUAAUUCGGUUAAAUUUAUUUUGUAAUAUUACUUGCUUGUUUCCCAAAUAUUUUACUGUUUUUCGCUUUAUUCCAUUUGUUCGGUUAAUUUAGGUCAUCGUCGGUAUUUAUCUCAACUUCAUUUCUACUUUAGUCAAUUGUAUAUUUAACUUUAUUUUUUCAUUAUUGUAUUUUCCCUUAGUGAGGCUUGGGCCUAUUUAUUUGUAGUAUUUUCAUCUUUGUCAGUUUCCUUUAGUUGUACGUAGCAGGCGUACUAUAACCAUUUGGUAGAAGACUUAUGUAAUUUUGUACCCUAUAUGUAAGUAAGAGGUAUAUCUUUUGUACAUACAUAUAGCAGGACUGUUGUUAUAUGAUAUAUCAGUUUUAACUUAACUUCUGUAUAACUUAUGUCAUUUUAGAGUCACAUGAUAUACACUUUGUGUAACUCAGAGAUUGUCAAAAAUCUAGUAGUUAUUUUUAAUAAAUAUUUAUUUAUUUUGUA
rnacentral:lncRNA from 1 species